ACUGUGUGAGGAUCAGCAGUGAGCUGACAGUGCUGCGUACAGUUCUGAUAAAACUGCUGUCAUCAAGUUCAUUAAAUGUUCAGACACUGUCCUGAACACUGGAGCAGAUCUGUGUUCACCCACUUUGUGUUUUCAGCUCUGAGUGUGGAGGCGUGUGGGAGAAAUGAGGCCUCUGCUGGCGAUCGCUCUCAUCCUUCUUUUCCUAUGGCUUCUCAAGAAUCAGACGUCCAGUGACCCUCUUCAUGGAGACCCCUGUGAGGCUGUAUCCCUGAGUGAGGCAGUGAUGUCCUUCCUCUUGUCUCCUCUGUCUCUGUACUCCUGGUUGUCCUCCACGCUGCUCAGACUCGUCCUGUCUGUCCCAGCUCUGGUGGUCAGCUCCCUGCAGAACACAGUGCUGCUGCUCCUGGCCUGGCCUUGGUGCUUUGCCUUUGUCUGCAUCUCGGUGCUGCUGACGUGUCUCCACGUGGCCCUGUACCUGCUUCACCUGGCCCUGGUGGUUUGGGUCGGGGCCAUUUUGACCCUCACGCGACACAAAAUGGCUGAAAGUGACGCCGCAGACGAGAGAGUGUUGUACCAGCAGAAGAACCAGGGGAGGUGUCACACCAAAACCAGACUGAGGCUGUUCGGAGACACAGACGGGUCAGUGGCGGUCGUAGGCAGAGGCUGUUGCCGUGGCUGCAGGGCCUGUCCCCCGUGAUGUUGCACUGUAGUAGUACGGUGAUCCUGGGAAGAAACACAGACCCAAGUUUUAUUUACUAUGCUGAAGAGUUCAACAAAAACACAGAUUGCGGAAUAAGAGCAUUUAAGGAAGAACAGCGUGUGGAGAGUGAUUCAACUGGAGAGCUCAGCGAGACUGUGCUGGUCCUGCCAUACAGUGGAUGAUGGCAUAGCUUUUCUCCCUCAUUUACUACUUACUGUCUGGGGUGUACUCUUCCUCUUGUCUCCCCCUCCCACUUCUCCCUUCACCCCUUCCUCUUUACUUUUCUGCCUCUCGUCCUCUGGCCCGCCUGACUCUAACCCGCUCGUCACCCUUCACAUCAAAACAACAUUCUUCCCCAUCGCUUCUCCUCUUUUUAUUUUUUCCCCACUCUUUCUUUCUCCUCUCCUGAACCUUCACUCCUCCCGGGGGGAUCCCUCUCCCAUAGCUGACAGUCACAGACCCUGAUGCCCCCCCUCCCUCCCUCCAGCCUCCCCCCACCCGCUCCUCCUCUUUCCCUCUCGUUCUGUCGGUUCUGCCUCACUGCUCUCCUACACCCCCCCUGAGUGUCAGCCCCCCUGCUGCAGAGAGAGAGAGAGAGACGGAGACAGAGAGGGAGAAAAGACGAACAGCAGAAGAGAGUUGCUUGCUUAAUGAAGGUACCAUCCCAGUGAGGGAAGGCGUGGAGUAGCUGCCCUGUCCAGUGGGAGGAACGUGUGGAGGGUAGCCUGGCAGAGUGGUGCUGGCUAUGUCUCGACCUUAGGAACGAUUGCAUUUGGAGCCACAGAUGGACUUUGGGAUCUGAGAGAUGGAGUUUGUUGAUUCCCUCGCUGGCUCCAGCCUCCUCUGUCCCUCCUCGCCUCCUCUCUCCUGUCUCGGUGUAGUAAAGUUUUUCUCUGUGUUUGACGCGACAGCGAGGCAUUAGUGCAGACGGGCUACUCAUCCGCUCAGGGUCAGUGCACAGGGCAAGGAGGAGAGGAAGGAGAGGUUGGUAGAGAGGAGAGAUGGACUCUCUACAGCCCAACUUAGAGGGGGCAGACAGGGCCAGAUCCUCUGAGCCAUCAGAACAACACAUGUCAAACCUGGGGGGAUCGAGGGUGUACAGCGGUCUCUUUGUGUUUGCGAUCACAUUGACUGGAUGAACUUCAAGAGGGGAAAUUAAAAUUCCCUACCGAUAUGGAAAAGACCCCGGAAAGGAAAAUGGAGAAUGUGGAUUAAAUGCAGAUCUUCAGUGAGUGUCCAGAGUAUCAACCCAUCAAAGAUGCAAUAACAUAGCAUCAAAAACACUGACUUCUGAUCCCCUAGAGGGAGCUCUAUUCU